rnacentral:misc_RNA from 1 species
GAUGAAGAACGUAGCGAAAUGCGAUAAGUAAUGUGAAUUGCAGAAUUCAGUGAAUCAUCGAAUCUUUGAACGCACAUUGCGCCCCUUGGUAUUCCGGGGGGCAUGCCUGUUCGAGCGUCAUUAUAACCACUCAAGCUCUCGCUUGGUAUUGGGGUUCGCGGUUCCGCGGCCCCUAAAAUCAGUGGCGGUGCCUGUCGGCUCUACGCGUAGUAAUACUCCUCGCGAUUGAGUCCGGUAGGUCUACUUGCCAGCAACCCCCAAUUUUUACAGGUUGACCUCGGAUCAGGUAGGGAUACCCGCUGAACUUAAGCAUAUCAAUAAGCGGAGGA